GACGAACGCUGGCGGCGUGCCUAACCCAAGCAAGUCGAACGGGGUUGACCUUCGGGUUAACUUAGUGGCGAACGGGUGAGUAACGCGUGAGAAACCUUCCUCUCAGUGGGGGACAACAGUUGGAAACGACUGCUAAUACCGCAUAACACUUUAGUACCGCAUGGUACAGAAGUCAAAGCUUUAUGUUCUGAGAGAUGGUCUCGCGUCUGAUUAGUGAGUUGGCGGGGUAACGGCCCACCAAGGCGACGAUCAGUAGCCGGUCUGAGAGGAUGAACGGCCACAUGGGGAGUGAGAUACGGCCCAGACCCCUACGGGAGGCAGCAGUGGGGAAUAUUGGGCAAUGGGGGAAACCCUGACCCAGCAACGCCGCGUGAAGGAAGAAGGCCUUCGGGUUGUAAACUUCUUUUACCAGGGACGAAGAACGUGACGGUACCUGGAGAAAAAGCCACGGCUAACUACGUGCCAGCCGCCGCCGUAACAC
rnacentral:rRNA from 1 species